ACACACACACACAAAUUUUGGGGCGAUUUCCGGCUUCCUAGCCUUCGACUGCGUUGCCGCUUGCUAUCCAGAGUGUCAAAUUCAAUGUUCAAAUCACAGAUCCAACUAGAUCUAUUAAAGCAACAGUCUUUCCUUUCCUGAGGUUGCAGGACAAUUUUAUGCAAUUACAGCAUCCUAAAUGGCACCAAAUGCAACUGGCAUCCCAAAUGGCACCAAAUGCAACUGGUUUUUCGCAUGGUGCUUUCAAGAAAGAGAACAUGAUUUAUUUCGAUGUCAUGAAAUUCACCUACAUCAAUCUACCAUUUGCUUCCCUUUGUAAGGGAAAGACAAAAAACUAAAGCUCAUGUCUUCAAUUUUACUGAUCAACUUGAAUUUUUCCCUCAUGCAAUAGGUUAUAAACUGCUUCUGUCAAGUACUACCAUAGGACCUCUGCAAAUACCAGGACAUAUUUGUUUAAAACAAAGGACUAACUAUCCUCUCUAAGAAAACUUCAUGUCUGGUCAUUUUAGGGACUAAGAAUUAAACAUAAGGAUUUAGUAGGCAACAAAUGAAAAUAAGGAAUGAAAGGAGUAUGGAAAUUGGUACCAAAGGCCAAAGGUUUCUUUUCCUUCCAUUUUUUAAAUUCUCAAUAUUCUGCUUUGCUAGAAGAGUUUAGGUUUAUGUACAUGUUCAAGCAAUGAGAAAAACAAAGAACCAAAACUAAUUGCUAUCUACUUAAUGCAGGAAGCCAGCAACACUUCCACUCUCGUUGCUCCACAACUUAGCUGAAUCCAAAAAGUGCCACGUGACACUUAAGGCCUGCAUGUGCAAAACCUAUGCAGCAAUCGGCAAGUGCAGAUUCAACGUCCACUCAAUCUCCAGCUAAGGCACUGUCAAGGAUUUGUGACCAAUUUUCAAGUGGCCAAAUAGAUACAAGACUGUUUUUGUAGACAAAAUUUUAGUAUUCCGGAGGGCAUGCUGUCCGCUUUUUGGUCACAAGAGCACAUGAAAAUGGAUUCUUUUGGAGCUGCAGAUGCAUCAAUGCUUCUCAAUAGAAAAGGCAGAUGAAGAGCUUGCAGGAGAGGAAUGAGGGGUUUAAUAUAACUACUGCUAUCUAUGACUACUGCGAGCUUUACUGGUGUUAUGCUCCUUCAGCGUCUAUAAAUAGACUACGCACUAUGUGGUUUGUAUGUAAAUCAUCUAAUCCUUUUGCUACUUUGAUCAAUCUAUAUAAUAUAUAUUUCUACUUGUUUC